AAAAAGACUUCAUCUGCAAUCAGAAGCAAUAUGAAGUGGGUGCUUGUCAUCAUUCUUAAACAAGAACAAACAAUCACAAUCAGGAAUGUGGUCAUUUGUUUACCACAGUUUUUACAUUUUAACUGUGUUUUCAUUUAAUAAUUAAGUUGUGUGAUUUUGUACUAAUACAUUUAGUUUUUAAUCAUUUAAAACAAAUUGUUUCAUGCUCUUAUUAUUAAAACUUUAAAACUGACAGAAGAUGGACUUACAUUUAAUCACAGAGGUGGUAAAAAGGUCUCCCUCUCUUGUAGAGCUUGAGGAGCUCAGCUUUAAUACAUCUCUAGUGACUCUCCUCAGACUUCCUACACAACACGCGCUGCACCGAGGCACAGUUCUAUUCAUGGCUUGUGUUGUGGAUCUGUACUGAGCUUCUUAGUGGAAAGCUACCAAGUGACCGGGCACAGAAACAGUUGCAGGACACAUUUCAGGUAGUUCAAAGUCAGAGAAGACAUGAAAUAUCUUAUUAGUGAGAAAAACUGUCAACAAAUUUGGUGCAGACAUGUUUAAUAUUGCUGUAGGGGACAUGACAGAAAGGAAAUAUAUGAGUGGGGAAGAAAUAGUGAAGCGCGUGAACAAUAAAAGGCAACGUGGUUGACAAGGGAGAUGGGUGAGAUUAUAACCAGAGGUGAGUAAGGAAAAAAAAUACACUGGAGUUCAGCCAGACUAAAGGACUAAAGCUGCAGGUAGUUUGAUGCACAUCAGAUAAACUCUGCUCAAAGAUUUCUAUUAAUAGCACCGCUAACUAAUUUAGAAACAGGCUUUAAAUGAUGUUGCAUCUUUACAGAUCUAAUGGAGGUCAGCACGUGCCAAUCACUUUCAAACUAAAAUAUUCUUUUUUUAUUCUGACAGUACGUGUUUAACUAUAAAAGCACACAAUUUUCUAAGCUGAUGAGCUAAAAACAAGUAAUUUGUGCUAUUUUUAGAAGAAAGUGGAACUUUGAUCAAUUCAAUAUUUAAUUGUGCAACAGGCAUCAAAGUAAGUUACAAGUAAGUACAGACAAGAAAGCCUCAGUUUUCAGCCCAAAUUUAAACCCUUCUCUCUCCCAACAGAAAUCCAUGUCUUAACCACACCCUCUCUUCCCUGCCUGACCACUCACAGUCCCGGUGGAAGCACCUGGAGAUCGGCGGCGCGACCUCGGGGUGGCGAGCGGCCCGGGCCGGUGUGACGACCCGACUCUGACAGAGUGUCAAUACAAAGCAAUUUACAAGCGCAUGAAAAAUCGACCCUCGAUAACAGGCAAUUUCUCUGCUCCGCUGCCUCAAGAGGCAUGACCCUCCUUGCCAAAGAGAUGUGGGGGAGGGAAGACAAAGAGGAGGAAGAGGAGGAGAAGGGUGAUCAUGGUUCAGUGGAUGUGAUUACAGGCUACUGUGGUCUAAGGAAGGGAUGUGGUGGAAUGAAAGGGGGAGAAGUGUUUGUAAUGGGUCUGGGAGAGAUUCGGGGUAAAUGCUGUUGUAAUAGCAAACUGAGAAGCACAUCAUUCACAGUUAUGAGUUUGAUGGUUGAAUCUACUUGCGAGAGGAAGACAGUGUUGAGUUAGGAUAGAGGAACGUUUAGGACUCAAGGAACCUUCACAAAUUCAGGAAAAAGGAUUCAGAGUUUACACAGAAAAGAGUUAAAAAAGGUGGUUUGAGGAGAAAGGUGUGUGUGUGUGUGUGUGUGUGUGUGUGUGCGUGCGCGCGCGUGUGUGUGUGUGUGUGUGUGUGUGUGUGUGUGUGUGUGUGUGUGUGUGUGUGUGUGUGUGUGUGUGUGUGUGUGUGUGUGGACUUGAGGCCACAGGUGAGAACAGAGAUAAUGACCUCAUUCCUCUUCUCUUUUGCCAGGACACUUUUCUCAGCACCACUCUAUUCAUCAAACCCGCCGUCCAUCCCUCCAUCCUUUCUUCCGUCUGACUCUCUGUGCUGUCUUCCUGAAAGCCAGGGGUCACACUUUCAUCUGGGCAGACAGGAACACACACACAUCCAAGCAGAAUAUGUGGCACCUUCCACCAGAUGUCUAAGCAGCAUGAAACGUAAUAGAGGCAUUUCCCCCGUGACCUCACUGAUGCAUCUCUUCCCACCAGAAGUGUUCUGGAAAUGAAACAACAAUGAAAGUGUUCAAUGCAGCUGGUCCUGCCAUGUAGCAAAAUCACCAAAGAAUUGAAAGUUCACGUGUGAUUUUGGCAGUUUAUGCAAUAGCAAGCUGGGAGAAAGAUGACAGCAUGUAUCUAAACAGGUAUGUGAUUUAUUUUCUGUUCACCUCGGAUAUUGAGGUUUUCACAGAAAAUUUGAUUUUACUAGUUAAGCAACUAGAAAUCUGCAUGUGACUUUUAUUUUGAAAGCUACUGGAUGUGUUACACUGCUCCGUGUCUGAUUUCCUGUCUGAUUGGAUCUGAACUGCUUCGAUUGACCACUCUGAAAGUGUAGCACAUUAAAGUACUGAAGCGUAACUUCAGUGGAGCAAACUAUGCUUCUGGGUUGGGUCUAAAGAGCAACGCUUUGCAGCCGGAGGAAAUGCACUUGUUUACUAUAACGGUACAUAUUAGCUGCUUCCGGUGAAAAGCCGGGGUUAGUCUGUUUCUGUUGGCGUAACUUUUGAUCUGACACAUUUAAACUUAUUUCUUAAGACUUUUGAGUGGUGGAAAAGUGGAGUAUACAGCAAACAUUUAAACGUAGAAGCUCCACACACAAAAGUCCACACUGGGAGUCUAACCCAGAACCUUCAUACUGCAAGACAACAGUGCUAUGAAUUGACCAUAUGGUGCUGCCAUAGUAAAUAAAUCAAUGAUUAGAUAAAUAAACAUAGCCCCAGAUUUGGCAUAAAUGGAUAUUUAUAUUGAGUAGAAAAAAUCAAAUAUUUUUAUGUUUUAUUCAUUUUAUUUUUUAUUUUUUUUACUAAGAAGAGUAACUAGAUAUUGGUAUUUUUGUUUCUAUGGUAAUGUAACUAAUUUAAGAAACAGGACAUUUGUUGUUUUUGACUCAAACACAUAGAAUAAGAAGAGAAUGCCUCACAAGUGAAAGCAGUUCCGAGGUGUCUAAAACACAGAGGAGGGCUCUAUCAGGCCAAGAGGGGAACCAUAAACUGCCAAUAAUCUUUACAGAAGCCAAUCAAAAAGUCCUUCAAGAAAUAAUGACGUUCAAAAUAAUUUGGUGCAUCUUUAUGUUAUCAUCAAGCCUCAGUCUGUUGAGUUUGAAAUGUUUCCUAUUAUAAUUACCAGAACAACAGUGUGCUAGUUGGGCUGCUGCGGGCACAUGCAUGCAUUUACAUAUUAGCCAUAUUAGCCAACCUCAUGUUUAGCUUAGAAAUCAGUUCAAAACUAAAAUAUAAAUGAUUCUCAUACUCUGAACACUCUUUGGUGACUAAAAACAAACUACCCUGAUUUGAUCGAACAAACACCUUGGAAUGAUUGAUCAAUUUUGUUUUAAGAUCGUGGUCACACACACCAAAGUCCAACAGGGUGUGUGUGUGUGUGUUUGGUCUGUUGCCCUGGACCCAUUGGAGAACUGAACCGUGUCUGAGGAAGACGCUGAAUGCUCUUAUUCAGCCUCCACAACUCUCACCCUCCAUAAACGCUACAAAUUUACAGCUCAACACAACAAAUCAAACACAGAUUUAAAAUCAAGGUAUUGUUUGAUGGAGAGGACAUGUCUAUCAAUAUCAAUAAGCUGCUCUAAGAAUAAGCAUUCCCUGGUGAUAAAAAAAAAGUUUUUAAUACAAUUACAGCACCAGAAGUCGCUAACAGCAUCCUAAUAGAACCAAUGUCACAUGUCAGAACACAUCAGGACAUAUAACUGCUGGUAGUAUUUGACUAAUAUAAAAAUGGCACGUGAUCUAUAAAAUCAUAGUUUAUUGUGUCACUUUAAGAUGAUGUUAUUCAUCACUAGAUGUCAGAAUGUAGUUUACAUGUCAGCCCUAAAAUAAAGGCUCAUCAGUGAAAAGUUGUCUGGUUCCAACUGUUGCUUGUGUUAUGGGAUGGAGGGACCAAGAGGAGCCAAAACCAGUAAUGGAGCAUUACGGAGACGACAAAGACCGUUGUUUCAGAGCCAUUUAGAAGCAUAUCCCGAUCAUGAUCAUGAACAUUUUGUUCUUUUUGCAGCACACAGUUGCAGACAACAAACCAUUAGUACAAAAUGUAAUUAAAAUCAAUUAAGUAAGGGACCCAAACUCCGAUCCUCCUGAGCUGCAGUCCAGCAUGUUUUAAGUGUUUCUCUGCUACAACACACUUAUAUCAAUGGCUGAAUCAUCUGUUCAGUCUGUUGAUUAAAAUCAGAUGUGUUUAAGCAGGAAAACAACCAAGAUAUGCUGAAUUGCUGACCUUGGAGAUCGUGCUCUAGAGGAUCACAGUGCAGGGAGACAGUUUAUCAAACAACAUAUGUCAGAUAAUGAAUAAAUGUAUUGUGAGUAGUUUUCUGAAGAAAAAACAUUUGUGCUUGUUUUUUGGGAUGUAGAACUUAGCCGUAGAAUUUGAAGUCUAACUUAUUAAUAUUCAUGAUAUGCAAACAUCUCAUCUCUGAUUGGCUAACAGCAAUGCAACUCUUCUGCUGCUUCUGUUCACUCUUCUUUCUGGGUAAAAAAAAUGCUGUGUUUUAUCUCCACAAAUAAAACAAACCCAAAUCUGUUCUGAUAUGCUGUGGAGUUGCUAAUGCUAACGGUUAGCUACUACUAGCCGAGAUGAGCACUGCUCUCUUCUGGACACUAUCAACACAGCCAUGUGCAGUAAAAAGCCAAUAUGGGUGACUCCGUAAAUGAUCCUUUACAAUGUGACAUAGAUCUGUGUUUUUUCUGACCCAAACAAUUCCCCAUGUAUUUUCUAUUGGCGGCUAAUGCAGGAAAUAGGGAUAGAAGACCAUUGUCACUUUCAUUCCGCAUGUUAACCUCAGAAUGACCAAUUGUAUCACAGAAAGAAAAACAAGUAUUAGGUGUUUUAAUAACUCCUCUUCAAUAUCAUCAACCUUGUUUAUUUUUGAACACCCCUUCCUGGUCUCCAAUCUGUUUUGUUGCAAAAUUCCCACUUAAAACAUGCUCAUGCAAUUCCACAGCUAAUUUGACAUUUGGUUCACGCUGAAAGAUAGAAUUUUGUCUCAAAUUAAGCACAGUUAAACUGUAACUAACCUUGAGAUUUGAAACAUGGUGCUCCUGACAAUUUCAUUCAUUGCUGGUCUCCUUCAGCCAAUCUCCUGCUCCUAACAAGAGGGUUCUUCUGGAUGACCGCCAUCAAAAGGUGAUGUAAAAUACAGAAAGUAGGUCAACAGCAGAGAUCAGGAGCUGAGUGUGGUCAUUCUGACACAAAUAAAAGGACAUGAUUAUGAUCCUGACUUAAUAUUUGUGAUUGGAUGGGCAUCCGUAUCUUCAGCCCUUAGAAGGUUGAACAGUUUGAACCCAACACCUGAAUGACUGUGGGUGUGUGAAACUCAGAAAUUAAGCCUGAAAACAAUCUCUAAUAUUUCAAAUGAAGGUUUCAGCAUGAAGCCGUCGCAGGUUGGUGUUCCUCUCCGAUCCCCAGCUGUCCAAUCACAGACCUGGCGGAGGAGCCUGGCUUUAACAGGAGCCCAGGUGGAGGAGACGACAGCGAGGGCAGCAGAGAUGGAGGCAGAGUCAGUGGAGCGAUGCAGGAAAACAGAGCCCAGCCACCUCCACCUGGUCAUUAUCAGACACACACCUGCUGCCUCUUCCUCCACUCUCUCGUCUGUUUUUGGUUCUGCUUUUCCUCCAACCUUAUCAGUGUGUGUGUGUGUGUGUGUGUGUGUGUGUGUGUGUGUGCCUGUGUGUGUAUGUGUGUGUGAACUUUUGUAAAUAAAGUCAUUAUAAAACAGUCACAUAUUCACCCCAUUAUGCUAAAAGACAAAAUAAUAAAAUGCAACAAACUAAAACAUGUCUCAAAACUCUUGACAAUCCAGUGAUGAUCCUCACCUGGUAGGUUACCAUGACUACCUGACACCAGAUUCACCUCUCCAUCCAUCUGCGCUGUGGCAUUCACUUCCAUCAUGCCAAGCACUAACACCCCCACCCCGCAAUACAAAGGCUGUUAAUUCAGUGAGGGGGAGAUAAGGUCGAGGCGGCUGGCUUUCGGAAAGCACCAGAAGAACUGAAGUCGGCCCACAAAAGACAUGGAGACAGAGAGCAACAAGCAACAGGGACUAUAAAUAAUUCAUGACCAGCAGUAACUCCCUGUGAGGCUUCGGUGUGUGAAAUGUACACUGAAAACUUCAGGUUAUGGUCAAUUCUUUGCAGUUCAUGAAUUUCACUAAGUGAGCUGCACUGCAAACACGCCUCUUAAAAUUACCUCUAAUUUGCAAAAUGCAGAUUUAACAGAUUCAUAUUUCACAUUUAAUUUGCUAAACCCCCCUCCCGUCUGCAGCGCUUGCCACCAGACCUGCUCCCUCCUUCUCACUAAUUGAACAGAAGAUAAAUGGCACAGAGAUGCUUUCUGGUCUUCAGUAGAGGAUGGAGUCAUUUUUAUGAGCUCUCGCCACCAGCUGAUGUACGAGCUGCAGGGAGAGCUCAUGCUGUAAUAUCCCUGCUACAGCACAUAAAAGCAUAUCUGACCAUUUGGCAGCUGGAUCGGUUAGUAGAAGAGCAGAAGCAGCAGAAUUUUCAUAUCAUACAGUAACUCAGACAGCAGUUUGUGGUGAGAAGUGAGCACCAGUCUGAAUAAAGGCCGUCAUAGCUUCAAGAUAUGUGGACUGCUGCUGCAUCGUGGGCCUUCACAGAAACGGGCAAGUGAUACAAAUUAAAAGUCACGUGAGAAUUUGUUUGGGUUCAGAAAUAAAUAUUUCAGAAGGAGGAAAAGAAAAAGAAAGAUUUGGUAACCCUUCCUUUUACAGUCCGGUAAUAACCAGGUAAUUACCUGGCAAUAAGAUGUAUUUAUUAGUAAUAACAGUGUAAUUAAAUGUAGUUACAUUGUAAUUACCCAGUGCUUACAGGUAAUUACCUGGUAUUUACAAGAUAUUUUUCCUGACAAUGUACUUUCCUAGGGUGUACCCAAUAAUUACCUUGUAGAUAUGGAGUAAUUGUAUAUUGUGGAUUUUAAACCCGCUGGUUAAAAAAAAAUUACCUUGGGUUAUUAUUGGGCAAUAAGAUGUAUUUAUUAGUAAUAACAGCGUAAUUAAAUGUAGUUACAUUGUAAUUACCCAGUGCUUACCAGGUAAUUACCAGGUAUUUACUCAUAAAGUAUCACGUUAUUUACCUGGUAGUUAUCUCAUAUUUACCCACUGAAUACCAACUAGUUACCUAGUAGUUACUAGAUAUAUACUGCAAACCACCAUGUAUUUCUCCAGGAAUUAUGAUAUUAUUACAGCUAAAAGGAAGGGUUACCUAUGAUAGUAUUAUAGCUUAUGUAUUACCAAUCAACCUGUGCAGUGACAGUGAGGGUAGUAAUCACUCUGGUCAUUACCUGGUAUUUACCCAGAACUUACCCUGUAAGGAAUGUGGAACUGUACUGUAAAAGGAAGCGUGGUUUGAUUCUGUCAUAUUACCAUGUACUUUCCUGCUAAUUGUAGGUUAUAAUCCUCUACCAUCCAUCAGGGUGUGUAGUUUUGAACAUGGUACCUGGCACAUAUUUCCCUCAUAAUUACCAGGAAAAUAUCGGGGUGAUAUUAAAGUUUUACAGAGUAGUUACCCUGUAAGGAAGGUGGAACUGUACUGCAAAGGGAAGUGUGGUUUGCUUAAAUGAUAUUACCAUGUACUUUCCUGGUAAUUAGUAGUGGUGUUACUGGUACGGUAGUUUUUACUGUGUCAUUGUUACUUGGUAAUAAUUCAUACUUCCCUAGUAAUUACCAGAUAUUUUCUCUAAAAUUAUCAUAUGUUUACCUGCUAGUUAUCCAGAACUUAUCCUGUAAGGAAGGUGGAAAUGUACUGUAAAAAGAAGUGUGGUUUGUUUCAAUGACAUUGCCAUGUUUUUUCUUGUGUAAUUGUAGGUUACAAUCCUCUACCACCCACCAGGAUGGGUAGUUUUGAACAUGGUACCUGGCAAAAACUCCCAUAUUUCGCUAGUAAUUACCAGGUAUUUACCCAGUAAUUGGGAACUUGUACCACAUACAUUCCAAAACAUUAUCAAGUAAAACCUUGCAAGUUGGUGCAACUGUUCUGUGAAAGGAAGCCUUGUUUGUUCCUGUACUAUUACCAUGUUCUUACAAUAUCCUUUGGAGUUAAUCUGCUUUUUGAAGAUGUUCCACAGUCUUACCAGGUAAGACCAGGGAAGUCUACAAUUUAUAGAGUAAGUGGAAGCUGUACAAUAAAAGAAAGCCUUUGAGCCUUUGCACCAUAAAGAAUAUACAAAUUUCCCUGCAGGAUCAAUAAAGUAAACUUAACUAGUGUUUCAUUCAAUCGGAAAACAAUGGCAACUGAGGUGAACACAACACAGUAUGUCCUUCAUUACUGGUUACACUUUGUAAAAUGCUUUUAUGUCUUUAAAUAAGCUUCCAAGAAUGCCCUUCCUAUGCUCUUUCCCGAGCCAGUGGUUCCACUCAAUGAACCUUAAGUUCAUCUUCAAGGCCUUCUCUGUCAGGUUCCCCCAUACCUGUAGAUGUCCUCCUUGUAAGUCUGCCACGCCCGUUCAAUGUGCUGCGUAAGAGCACCAAUGGAGCAUACGUAAUGACGAACGGGGAAGAUAAACUUGGACGCAGUUGCAGUCACACAACCACCU